GCAAGUCGAGGGGCAGCAUAAUCUUCGGAUUGAUUGCGACCGGCGCACGGGUGCGUAACGCGUAUGCAACCUAACCAGUACAGGGGGAUAGCCCGAGGAAACUCGGAUUAAUACCCCAUAAUAUUGAGACUACACCUGUAGAUUUAAUUAAAACUUCGGUGGUACUGGAUGGGCAUGCGUAAGAUUAGAUAGUUGGUGAGGUAACGGCUCACCAAGUCAACGAUCUUUAGGGGGCCUGAGAGGGUGAAC
rnacentral:rRNA from 1 species